AGGGAUGGUAAAUGUGUUCGCUUUGCUGAUGUGUGGGCUCAGUGCAAGGGAAGCUGGAGGAGGCCCGCGUGCUCGCACACACACAGUCUUGGUGAGCUCUUAGCCUGGACGUGGUUCAAGUCGUGGAGGGAUCCAAUUCUUCUUGUGAAGACGAAGAAAGGAAAGCAGCCAACUUCAUGCAUCAAGUGGAACACUAAUCCUGAACUACGAGGAACAACUUCCAAGCCUUCAGAUGAUCUACCUUUGUGAUGGCCACUCCCAAAGUAAUCAACCCUGGGGAAAUUCAUGUCUGGACUGAUGGAACUCUGUUUUAGUUUCAUAUCCUUGAUAGAAUAUGAAAGUUUUUUUUUCCCACCUACAUUUUUGAUCCAAGGCCUUCCUAAGAUUAAGACCAGCAAAUUAGUUCUGCUUGCUUCUUGGAUGACUGCUAUUCCAUGUCCUCUGCACAUGGUCAAUUACUUCUAGGAUCCCCAAACCAGGUGGUUUGGAAGCAAGAUGGUCAUAUUAAUGUCGAAUUUGGACCAAGACACUAAUGCCUGGCACUAAGUUUGAUAAUUAUCAAGUAGAUAUAAUACCAAGCUACUGUUAGGCUACUGCAACUUGGCUGAGUCCAAACAACCUGAAUACCUCUGUACUGUAAUUACAUUUUCUUGUAUUUCCCAUUUUAGGUGGAAAAAUGGCUUGUGAUUUGUCUUUUGUCUUUUUAGGAUAUCUACAUUAUUCUGUUGAGUUCA